UAACAACAGAUGAUGCCUAUCAACUGUUUAAAAAGAUGGGUUCUGCUAUCACUCUUGGGAUGGGACCUGCGGUGCAUUAGCUAGUUGGUAGGGGUAAAUGGGCCUACCAAGGCGAUGAUGCAUAGCCGAGUUGAGAGACUGAUCGGCCACAUUGGGACUGAGACACGGCCCAAAACUCCUACGGGAGGCAGCAGUAGGGAAUCUUCCACAAUGGACGCAAGUCUGAUGGAGCAACGCCGCGUGAGUGAAGAAGGGUUUCGGCUCGUAAAGCUCUGUUGUUGGUGAAGAAGGACAGGGGGUAGUAACUGACCUUUGUUUGACGGUAAUCAAUUAGAAAGUCACGGGCUAGCUACGUGCCAGCAGCCGCGGGUAAAU
rnacentral:rRNA from 1 species